rnacentral:rRNA from 1 species
UACGUAGGGUGCAAGCGUUGUCCGGAAUUAUUGGGCGUAAAGAGCUCGUAGGCGGUUCGUCGCGUCGGCUGUGAAAAACCCGGAGCUCAACUCCGGGCCUGCAGUCGGUACGGGCAGACUAGAGUGUGGUAGGGGAGACUGGAAUUCCUGGUGUAGCGGUGGAAUGCGCAGAUAUCAGGAGGAACACCGAUGGCGAAGGCAGGUCUCUGGGCCAUUACUGACACUGAGGAGCGAAAGCGUGGGGAGCGAACAGG